CCUACGGGAGGCAGCAGUGGGGAAUAUUGCACAAUGGGGGAAACCCUGAUGCAGCAACGCCGCGUGAAGGAAGACGGUUUUCGGAUUGUAAACUUCUGUUCUUAGUGAAGAAGAAUGACGGUAGCGAAGGAGCAAGCCACGGCUAACUACGUGCCAGCAGCCGCGGUAAGACGUAGGUGGCAAGCGUGGGCCGGAAUUACGGGGGGUAAAGGGAGCGCAGGCGGGAAGCCAAGUCAGCUGUGAAAACUACGGGCUUAACUUGUAGACUGCAGUUGAAACUGGUUUUCUUGAGUGAAGUAGAGGUUGGCGGAAUUCCGGGUGUAGCGGUGAACUGCGUAGAUAUUCGGAGGAACACCGGUGGCGAAGGCGGCCCACUGGGCUUUAACUGACGCUGAGGCACGAAAGCGUGGGUAUCGAACAGGAUUAGAUACCCUUGUAGUC
rnacentral:rRNA from 1 species